rnacentral:tRNA from 1 species
GAGGGUAUAGCUCAGUGGUAGAGUGCAUGCGUAGCAUGUACAGGGUCCUGGGUUUAAUUCCCAGUACCUCCG